rnacentral:rRNA from 1 species
GACGAACGCUGGCGGCGUGCCUAAUACAUGCAAGUCGAGCGCAGGAAAUCGACGGAACCCUUCGGGGGGAAGUCGACGGAAUGAGCGGCGGACGGGUGAGUAACACGUAAAGAACCUGCCCUCAGGUCUGGGAUAACCACGAGAAAUCGGGGCUAAUACCGGAUGGGUCAUCGGACCGCAUGGUCCGAGGAUGAAAGGCGCUUCGGCGUCGCCUGGGGAUGGCUUUGCGGUGCAUUAGCUAGUUGGUGGGGUAAUGGCCCACCAAGGCGACGAGGCAUAGCCGACCUGAGGGGGUGAUCGGCCACACUGGGACUGAGACACGGCCCAGACUCCUACGGGAGGCAGCAGUAGGGAAUCUUCCACAAUGGACGAAAGUCUGAUGGAGCAACGCCGCGUGAACGAUGAAGGCCUUCGGGUCGUAAAGUUCUGUUGUAAGGGAAGAACAAGUGCCGCAGGCAAUGGCGGCACCUUGACGGUACCUUGCGAGAAAGCCACGGCUAACUACGUGCCAGCAGCCGCGGUAA